GGCCCUUCCUGCUCAUUCUCCUAUUUUACCUUUGUGCUCCUUCUGCCCCUUCCAGCUCAUUUCUGACCCUUUCUGCUCCUUCUACUUUACCUUUGUGCUGCUUUACCUUCCAGCUCCUUGCUGACCCUUCCUGUUCAUUUCUGUUCCUUUGUGCUCCUUCUCCUACUUUACCUUUUGUGCUCCUUGCUGUCCCUUCCAGCUCCUUGCUGCCCCUUCCUGCUCAUUUCUGUUCCUUCUCCUUUUCUUACUUUACCUUCCUGCUCCUUGCUGACUCUUCAUGUAGGCUGUCUCCCUCAUCCCUCACUUCCAUAGGCAUGCGCACGG